rnacentral:rRNA from 1 species
UACGUAGGUGGCAAGCGUUACUCGGAAUCACUAGGCGUAAAGCGCAGGUAGGCGGUUUGAUAAGUCUCUUGUGAAAGCUCCCGGCUUAACUGGGAGAGGCCAAGGGAAACUGUCAGGCUAGAGUGUGGCAGAGGAUGCUGGAAUUCCCGGUGUAGCGGUGAAAUGCGUAGAGAUCAGGAGGAACACCCGGGGCGAAGGCGGCCCUCUGGCUCGACCCUGACGCUGAGGCGCGAAAGCGUGGGGAGCAAACAGG